rnacentral:rRNA from 1 species
UGGGGAAUAUUGCACAAUGGGCGCAAGCCUGAUGCAGCAACGCCGCGUGAACGAUGAAGGUCUUCGGAUCGUAAAGUUCUGUUGCAGGGGAAGAUAAUGACGGUACCCUGUGAGGAAGCCCCGGCUAACUACGUGCCAGCAGCCGCGGUAAUACGUAGGGGGCUAGCGUUAUCCGGAUUUACUGGGCGUAAAGGGUGCGUAGGUGGUCUUUCAAGUCGGUGGUUAAAGGCUACGGCUCAACCGUAGUUAGCCUCCGAAACUGGAAGACUUGAGUGCAGGAGAGGAAAGUGGAAUUCCCAGUGUAGCGGUGAAAUGCGUAGAUAUUGGGAGGAACACCAGUAGCGAAGGCGACUUUCUGGACUUGAACUGACGCUGAGGCACGAAAGCGUGGGGAGCAAACAGG